AUAUUGGAUCCGGACGUAAUGGUGGCGCAGCUUAUGUGAGUAAAACGCUUUAGUACUAUGUGUCACUGUGGUGGCCGGUGUUUUCUCUUCCGAGGGACGCGAAUUCAUGCUGCACACUCUUUGAAAGGGUUUAUGAUAAAAGACACGCGAGUUUGUGGGAGUAAAACGCUUUAGUACUAUGUGUUACUAUCAGUUGCGGCCAUUGAAUGUGAUAAAAAACACAUGUGUGUGUGUUUGUGCAUUCGGUACACAUGCGUCGAAGGGUUUAUGUAAAAGACGUGUGUGUGUGUGUCACAGGGUGACGAUCUUUUGGGCGGAACCAAAAGUUGGGAAAGUUUGGUUCCGCCCGGAUGUUUCCGCCCGGACCGGGAAGAGAAGACACAGGACAUCCGGCAGCAUCGCGAGGGCUGUAAUCAGCCAAACUACGUACAGCUGUGAGAUAUUAAGAGGAGCGCCGGGUGAUUGGACAAUGGCAACAUCCAGGAGAGUAUAUAAGAGCAAUUUAAACCACAGUUUGGCGUCGUUUUGUUGGUGCAUGUUGUUCCUGUUGCUGGUGUAUAGUAGCGCUGAGUUGGGCUCACCUGUUAUACUUAUUGGAUCGCUGUACUUGCUCUCUCUCUCGUUUUGCAUUGUGGACUUAUGUUGAUGAAGAUGCCGAAGACCUUAGAGGUUGAAGAUUAAACGGAUAUUGACAUCGGAUGAGAGAAACAAAGGAAGGAGAAACGUACCAUUGUGAGUAGACAUCUGUGGAAAAGGGAUGUUGGCGACUGGAAAACGCCCUGUCUAUGCAUCUGGAGUCAUUGCCGGAUGAAAUCAACCUAGGGGAACGUGGGACGAAGAAAGUGCAGCAGUUGUGAGUAACAGAAUCCAUUUAUGGAAGUGAAUUGCAUGUAUUUGACCUGUGUAUCUUUUUGAGUGUUUCCAAGAGAGCGUGGGUGGCCCUACCCCUGAGUCAGCGUGGUGGGUGAGCCGAAGGGUCCUUGUGUUGAAACAGCUCCAGUGACGAAAACAAACACUAGGCCGUGUUACCAUAUCCAUAUCCUCGCCCAGAGCGAAGUGGAGGAAGACAGGCGUCUAUUGUGUGCACUGAGCGUGGUGGAGCUAGAGGCGAAGGAGAUCCGCCGCCCCGAGGUCUCUACGAAGGGGCGCCCCGGUCCAGUUUUCGAUUGACCAACGGGUAUCGAGGAAACGGGCAGCGCUCGACCCGGUGUGCCGGCGUGACGUUCCCGCCCCUCUGUGGACAACGAGCUCGCCGAGAGGGUCUUGGUCCCCGGCGUCCUAUAGAAGCCACUGUCCAGUUGACGCAUUACGUAAGCCAGCUAUCCUGUCGUCUGUGGAAAGAGAGAGAGCCAGCGUGAACGCUAAGAUACCGAGCUGUGAAGAAAAACCAUACCUACCUAGAAGCUGUAGUCAGCGCAGAGGUGAGAGAACCAAUUGAACACGAUUCACUGCGUCCCUUUGUGUCCCAGCUGUCGUCUGUGGAAAGAGAGAGAGCCAGCGUGAACGCUAAGAUACCGAGCUGUGAAGAAGAAACAUACCUACCUAGAAGCUGUAGUCAGCGCAGAGGUGAGAGAACCAAUUGAACACGAUUCACUGCGUCCCUUUGUGUCCCAGCUGUCGUCUGUGGAAAGAGAGAGAGCCAGCGUGAACGCUAAGAUACCGAGCUGUGAAGAGAACCAUACCUACCUAGAAGCUGUAGUCAGCGAAGAGGUGAGAGAACCAAUUGGAAACGAUUCACUGUGUCCCUUUGUGUCCCAGCUGUCGUCUGUGGAAAGAGAGAGAGCCAGCGUGAACGCUAAGAUACCGA